rnacentral:miRNA from 1 species
AAAGGAAAGUGUAUCCUAAAAG